rfam:Reichenbachiella faecimaris strain DSM 26133 genome assembly, contig: Ga0069982_12
GCCGGAAUGGUGGAAUUGGUAGACACGCAAGACUUAAAAUCUUGUGACUUUCGAGUCGUGUGGGUUCAAGUCCCACUUCUGGCA